ensembl:misc_RNA 7SK 7SK RNA
GGAUGUGAAGGUGGCCUGGCUGCAACAUCUGUCACCCCAUGGAUCGUCAGGGUUGAUUCGGCUGAUCUGGCUGGCUAGGCGGCUGUCCCCUCCUCCCUCACCGUCCCUGUGCGUCCCUCCCGAAGCUGCGCACUGGGUCAAAGAGGACGACCUUUCCCCCAAGAGAGGACCCGUCUUCGGUCCAGGGUAUACGAGUAGCUGCGCUCUCCUGCUAGAACUUCCAAACAAGCUCUCAAGAGUAAAGGCUCUGAAAUGUAGAAAAUGUAUAUUCCAAUUAAUUGUCGGAAUAUUCAGUUCCACUUACUGUCAUU